AUGCAGUCGAGCGGACAGAUGGGAGCUUGCUCCCUGAUGUUAGCGGCGGACGGGUGAGUAACACGUGGGUAACCUGCCUGUAAGACUGGGAUAACUCCGGGAAACCGGGGCUAAUACCGGAUGGUUGUUUGAACCGCAUGGUUCAAACAUAAAAGGUGGCUUCGGCUACCACUUACAGAUGGACCCGCGGCGCAUUAGCUAGUUGGUGAGGUAACGGCUCACCAAGGCAACGAUGCGUAGCCGACCUGAGAGGGUGAUCGGCCACACUGGGACUGAGACACGGCCCAGACUCCUACGGGAGGCAGCAGUAGGGAAUCUUCCGCAAUGGACGAAAGUCUGACGGAGCAACGCCGCGUGAGUGAUGAAGGUUUUCGGAUCGUAAAGCUCUGUUGUUAGGGAAGAACAAGUACCGUUCGAAUAGGGCGGUACCUUGACGGUACCUAACCAGAAAGCCACGGCUAACUACGUGCCAGCAGCCGCGGUAAUACGUAGGUGGCAAGCGUUGUCCGGAAUUAUUGGGCGUAAAGGGCUCGCAGGCGGUUUCUUAAGUCUGAUGUGAAAGCCCCCGGCUCAACCGGGGAGGGUCAUUGGAAACUGGGGAACUUGAGUGCAGAAGAGGAGAGUGGAAUUCCACGUGUAGCGGUGAAAUGCGUAGAGAUGUGGAGGAACACCAGUGGCGAAAGGCGACUCUCUGGUCUGUAACUGACGCUCAGA
rnacentral:rRNA from 1 species